rnacentral:rRNA from 1 species
UCAGGAGGGACACCAAUGGAGAAGGCAGGUCUCGGGCCAAUACUACUUUNGGAGCGAAAGCGCGGGGUGAGGUCUGGAUUUGAUUCCGUGGUACUCCGCGCCGUAAACGAUGGUCGGGAGUUGUGGGGACAUUCCACGGUCUCUGCGAUGCAGCUAAAGCAAUAAGAACCCCGCCUGGGGAGUCCGAUAGCAAGAUUAAUAUUCCAAGGAAUAGACGGGGCCCAACACAAGCAGCGGAGCAUGAGGCCUAAUUGGAGGCUACGCGAAGAACCUUACCAAGGCUUGACAUAUACCGAAAAACAGCAGCGCGUAGUGUCCGCAAGGGCGGUAUACAGGUGGUCCAUGGUACUAGUCACCUCGUGUCGUGAGAUGUUGGGUUAAUUCCCGCAACGAGCGCAACCCUCGUUCUGUGUUGCCAGCAUUAAGUUGGGGACUCACAGGAGACUGCCGUGGUCAACACGGAGGAAGGUGGGGACCCGUCAAAUCAUCAUGCCCCUUAGGUCUUGGGCGGCACCCAUGCAACAAUGGCAGGUACAAAGGGCUGCAAUCCCGUAAGGUGGAGCGAAUCCCAAAAAGUCUGUGUAAGUUAGGGGAGAGGUCCGCAACUCGACCUCAUGAAGUUGGAGUUGCUAGUAAUCGUAGAUCAGCAAUGUUACGGUGAAUACGUUCCCGGGGCUUGUACACACCGCCCGUCACGUCCCGAAAGUCG